rnacentral:tRNA from 2 species
GCGGAUGUAGCUCAGCUGGUAGAGCACCACCUUGCCAAGGUGGGGGUCGCGGGUUCGAAUCCCGUCAUCCGCUC